rnacentral:rRNA from 1 species
AGCUUGUUGGUGAGGUAAAAGCUCACCAAGGCGACGAUCUGUAGCGGGUCUGAGAGGAUGAUCCGCCACACUGGAACUGAGACACGGUCCAGACUCCUACGGGAGGCAGCAGUGGGGAAUUUUGGACAAUGGGGGCAACCCUGAUCCAGCCAUGCCGCGUGAGUGAAGAAGGCCUUCGGGUUGUAAAGCUCUUUCAGCCGGGAAGAAAACGCAUGGGUUAAUACCCUGUGUGGAUGACGGUACCGGAAUAAGAAGCACCGGCUAACUACGUGCCAGCAGCCGCGGUAAUACGUAGGGUGCGAGCGUUAAUCGGAAUUACUGGGCGUAAAGCGUGCGCAGGCGGUUUUGUAAGACAGGCGUGAAAUCCCCGGGCUUAACCUGGGAACUGCGUUUGUGACUGCAAGGCUAGAGUACGGCAGAGGGGGGUGGAGUUCCACGUGUAGCAGUGAAAUGCGUAGAGAUGUGGAGGAACACCAAUGGCGAAGGCAGCCCCCUGGGUCGAUACUGACGCUCUUGCACGAAAGCGUGGGUAGCAAACAGGAUUAGAUACCCUGGUAGUCCACGCCCUAAACGAUGUCAACUAGGUGUUGGGAGGGUAAAACCUUUUAGUACCGGAGCUAACGCGUGAAGUUGACCGCCUGGGGAGUACGGCCGCAAGGUUAAAACUCAAAGGAAUUGACGGGGACCCGCACAAGCGGUGGAUGAUGUGGAUUAAUUCGAUGCAACGCGAAAAACCUUACCUACCCUUGACAUGCCAAGAACUUUCCAGAGAUGGAUUGGUGCCCGAAAGGGAACUUGGACACAGGUGCUGCAUGGCUGUCGUCAGCUCGUGUCGUGAGAUGUUGGGUCAAGUCCCGCAACGAGCGCAACCCUUGUCGUUAAUUGCCAUCAUUUAGUUGGGCACUUUAACGAGACUGCCGGUGACAAACCGGAGGAAGGUGGGGAUGACGUCAAGUCCUCAUGGCCCUUAUGGGUAGGGCUUCACACGUCAUACAAUGGUCGGUACAAAGGGUCGCCAAGCCGCGAGGUGGAGCCAAUCCCAGAAAGCCGAUCGUAGUCCGGAUCGCAGUCUGCAACUCGACUACGUGAAGUCGGAAUCGCUAGUAAUCGUGGAUCAGAAUGUCACGGUGAAUACGUUCCCGGGUCUUGUACACACCGCCCGUCACACCAUGGGAGCGGGUUCCGCCAGAAGUAGGUAGCCUAACCGCAAGGAGGGCGCUUACCACGGCGGGGUUCGUGACUGAGGUGAAGUCGUAACAAGGUAGCCGUAGGGGAACCUGCGGCUG